CUGGCAACAGGGCUCUCUUUCUUGGAUGUCUCAGCCAUGACAGAGACUUCUCACAUCACAGCAGUGUCAUGGGAUAUUUACUGUGAAUAGGAAGUCCCACGCCCCCCAGGUUAUAACUCCUCUACAGGAUGGCUGGGGGCUUGAAGAUGUUCUCAAUCACACACUCUGGCUUCUGCAGACCCUAAUGUUGAGAGACAGGGUUUCACCAUGUUGCCCAGGCUGGUCUCGGACUCCCGGCCUCAAGUGAUCCUCCUGUCUCAGCCUCCCAAAGCACUAGGAUUACUGGCAUGGGCCACCGUGCCUGGCCAAUGCUGGGUUCUUCUCCUCGCCUCCCCUCAGGUGGUGAGGACUCCAUCAGCACCUUGGGCCUGAUCCUUGGU
rnacentral:sRNA from 1 species